UACGAAGGGGGCUAGCGUUGUUCGGAAUCACUGGGCGUAAAGCGCACGCAGGCGGAUCGUUAAGUCAGGGGUGAAAUCCCGAGGCUCAACCUCGGAACUGCCUUUGAUACUGGCAAUCUUCGAGUCCGGGAGAGGUGAGUGGAACUCCGAGUGUAGAGGUGAAAUUCGUAGAUAUUCGGAAGAACACCAGUGGCGAAGGCGGCUCACUGGCCCGGUACUGGACGCUCAGGUGCGAAAGCGUGGGG
rnacentral:rRNA from 1 species